rnacentral:rRNA from 1 species
GGCUCAGGAUGAACGCUAGCUACAGGCUUAACACAUGCAAGUCGAGGGCAGCGCAGUGUAGCAAUACAUGGGCGGCGACCGGCGCACGGGUGCGUAACGCGUAUCCAACCUUCCCGUUACUCAGGGAUAGCCUUCCGAAAGGGAGAUUAAUACCUGAUGGUGUUCAAAUUCCGCAUGUUAUUUGAACUAAAGAUUUAUCGGUAACGGAUGGGGAUGCGUGACAUUAGGUAGAUGGCGGGGUAACGGCCCACCAUGGCGACGAUGUCUAGGGGUUCUGAGAGGAAGGUCCCCCACACUGGAACUGAGACACGGUCCAGACUCCUACGGGAGGCAGCAGUGAGGAAUAUUGGUCAAUGGUCUGACGACUGAACCAGCCAUGCCGCGUGAAGGUCACGGCCCUAUGGGUCUUAAACUUCUUUUGUAAGGGAGCAAUAAGUCUCACGUGUGGGAUGAUGAGAGUACCUUACGAAUAAGCAUCGGCUAACUCCGUG